GGUCAUGUGGCCGGCAUGACUGCAUGGAGCGCCGUUACCUUCCCGCCGGAGCGGUACCUAUUGUAAAACAUAACAGUAUGGAUAUAGGCAGGUGUCCCCUUCCUCCCUCAUCGCUCCAUGUGCUUCCCUCCCAAAGCUGCACACUCGGUGGAAGAGGAAGACGUCCCAGGUAUAGAUAUAGGUAUGUCAUUAUUUGAUUA
rnacentral:snRNA from 1 species